rnacentral:SRP_RNA from 1 species
GCUGGGUGUGGUGGCUCACACCUGUAAUCCCAGCACUUUGGGAGGCUGAGGUGGGGGAAUCACUUGAGGCCAGGAGUUCGAGACCAGCCUGGCCAACAUAGUGAAACCCCAUCUCUA